rnacentral:rRNA from 1 species
UACAGAGGUGGCAAGCGUUGUUCGGAAUUACUGGGCGUAAAGGGCGCGUAGGCGGCCUUCUAAGUCAGACGUGAAAUCCCUCGGCUUAACCUGGGAACUGCGUCUGAUACUGGAAGGCUAGAGUAUGGGAGAGGGAUGUAGAAUUCCAGGUGUAGCGGUGAAAUGCGUAGAUAUCUGGAGGAAUACCGGUGGCGAAGGCGGCAUCCUGGACCAUUACUGACGCUGAGGCGCGAAAGCUAGGGGAGCAAACGGGAUUAGAAACCCCAGUAGUCC